CCGUCACCAGUCGUGACUCAUCGCUAUCGCCACCUCCGAUAAGCCCUUCUCUCUCCUUGUUUUCUUUUGGCUUUGGGUAUCUUCACCAUAGCAGCAAGGGGAACACCCUAUUUUCCUUCUUUCCUGGCUUCCCUAUGCAUGACCGGACCACUAUCCCUAGCAACUACCAGUCAUGCCACCCCUCCCCCUUCCCCUCUGGUUGUCUUGGUUUCACCCAUGUUGGUCCACCGCCCCCUCCCUUCCUCAAUUUUUAAGAGCCACAGGAUGGCUUUGUUUCGACCAGAGAGAGAAAAAGAGAGGAAAG
rnacentral:lncRNA from 1 species